rnacentral:rRNA from 1 species
CCUGAUGCAGCCAUGCCGCGUGUGUGAAGAAGGCCUUCGGGUUGUAAAGCACUUUCAGCAGUGAGGAAGGUAGUGUACUUAAUACGUGCAUUGCUUGACGUUAGCUGCAGAAGAAGCACCGGCUAACUCCGUGCCAGCAGCCGCGGUAAUACGGAGGGUGCGAGCGUUAAUCGGAAUUACUGGGCGUAAAGCGCAUGCAGGCGGUUUGUUAAGUCAGAUGUGAAAGCCCGGGGCUCAACCUCGGAACCGCAUUUGAAACUGGCAGGCUAGAGUCUUGUAGAGGGGGGUAGAAUUUCAGGUGUAGCGGUGAAAUGCGUAGAGAUCUGAAGGAAUACCAGUGGCGAAGGCGGCCCCCUGGACAAAGACUGACGCUCAGAUGCGAAAGCGUGGGUAGCAAACAGGAUUAGAUACCCUGGUAGUCCACGCCGUAAACGAUGUCUACUUGGAGGCUGAGGUUUAAGACUUUGGCUUUCGGAGCUAACGCAUUAAGUAGACCGCCUGGG